rnacentral:rRNA from 1 species
UACGUAGGGGGCAAGCGUUGUCCGGAAUCAUUGGGCGUAAAGCGCGUGUAGGCGGCCCGAUAAGUCCGCUGUGAAAGUCCAGGGCUCAACCCUGGAAUGCCGGUGGAUACUGUCGGGCUCGAGUCCGGAAGAGGCGAGUGGAAUUCCAGGUGUAGCGGUGAAAUGCGUAGAUAUCUGGAGGAACACCGGUGGCGAAGGCGGCAUCCUGGACCAAUACUGACACUGAGGAGCGAAAGCCAGGGGAGCAAACGGG